CAGCAGCCGCGGGAAUACGGAGGGUGCAAGCGUUAUCCGGAUUUAUUGGGUUUAAAGGGUCCGUAGGCGGAUCUGUAAGUCAGUGGUGAAAUCUCACAGCUUAACUGUGAAACUGCCAUUGAUACUGCAGGUCUUGAGUAAAUUUGAAGUGGCUGGAAUAAGUAGUGUAGCGGUGAAAUGCAUAGAUAUUACUUAGAACACCAAUUGCGAAGGCAGGUCACUAAGAUUUAACUGACGCUGAUGGACGAAAGCGUGGGGAGCGAACAGGAUUAGAGACCGCCGUAGUCCCUGUCUCUUAUAC
rnacentral:rRNA from 1 species